rnacentral:misc_RNA from 1 species
UCUGGCCUGGCAUUCACUUAUUCGGCUCACAGUUCUUCCUACCACUGGUCUGCUAUCGACUAGACAUUGCCUCGUGAUGAAAUAUUAAUGACUUGUGGCUAAAGCAGUCACCAACAAACCGAGCACAAGAAAAGGCUGGGCGCUAGCCUGAAACAAUAGAAAGUAAAAUGGUGGUAUAUUGAUUAGAAGAAUGAUGUGUUCUAAAGCAAAGCUCAACGGCCAUACAAUUAUUUUUUUUUUAUAAGCUACGGCUGUAUUAGUGUUAUGAAAAAUCCAACAAAUAUACGAUCCUAGACUCCAGUACUUGACCGUUCUAUAGCAACAGGAUCUCAUAUUUAUCUCAUAUUUCAAGUAAUUUUUGGCACAAAAUCAAUGCACGAUAUUGUUGUUGCCCGUCUUGCUAAAGUUGGAAUUUUGGUAAAUGUUCCCAAUAUAGAAAACCCGACCAUUUCACCUGCGCUGAAAAUUUCAAGUAACAAAUCGUUUGCAAUACUAGACUAUUCAACUCUUAUGACAAACACAGCUAUUUUCGUUCAAGUAGCAUUCACAUGAAGCCGUUUAAGCAGGUCAUGCCAAUGGUUAAUCCUCAAAAAGUGGAAGAUUAUAUGAUUUACCUGAUAUUUAACAUCAUACUUGACAGGGUCCUUCAAGAAGUACUGAAACUGCAAUGCACCAAUGUUAGAGAAGAAAAGUAUUAGCAUUGUAUUCAUAUGUUCACAAACAUAUCAUUUUUAGGAGGGCCAAAAGAAAGAGACUUGUUCCCCUAUCGGAGAAAUUAGUCAUUAUUACACAGCGCGCGAUACCAGACAUGUAGUCCUAGUCAUAUGAGAUAGCAACCUCUAGAGACAGAAGCAAACAUAAGUAGCAAUACAUCAACUGAUCCUCGUGAAAUGAUCUAAAACAUUUUAGACACAGCUGUGAAGUUUUAACAAACUCAUAUUAUGCAGCUUGAAGGUCAAGGUAGGUUGUUUGAGCAUCCUCUCUUAAAAUUACCAGACUGUCUUGCAUAUGCCCAGUUGAGGACUUUAAGGUCAACCCAAGUUGAUUUGGAUUUUAAGAGUAGAGAUGCUAUGAUCAUAAACAACAGCUGGAAAACUAUCUGAGGAAGUAUCAAAGCAAGCAAGGCCAAAGCAUAAUAAGGUUUACCAGCUCCUAGCAGAUAACCAGCUACUGAGAUCUGAGUUAUGUCAAUGGCACCAACGCAAAUCCAUUUUGCAGUUUCAGCACCAAAAGCAACUGGAAGUGACUGAAGGCCCAAUGCUCUAUCUCCUUCAAUACUUUUGAAGUCAUUUACAAUGGCAAUUCCCAGCCCAGCUAUACUAUACAAGAGAGUCAGAACUAUUAUAUCUGGCGUAAGGGUUCCAAACAAAGCUUGACCAGCCCACCUAUCAAUCAGAGAUUAAACCCAAAACUUCCUGUAAAAUAAUGAAUAGUUCAUAGGUUCUUACUUUCUAUAAUUAGAACAUAUUAGAAAAAUAAAUUUUUAUAAUUCUUAGUUGGCUUUGAGUUGCUUGGCCAUUGCAAACUAGUGAACGUAUGAGAUCUAAAUAUAACAAGAAGCAGAUAGGUGCUCCUCAUGAAAUGACAUGGAAUAAAUUAAGCAAAAUGGUGACCAUCCAAUUUACGAUUUAUCACUUGCCAUGAGUGCUUCUUUUUUUGUUGUUUUAAUGAUCCACAAAACUUCUAUACUAUUCAAGAGAAAAGAGUUGUUCUAAAUUAUUUGUUGGUAUACAAAAUUACAAAGAAUCUGCUGAUCACACUCACCAGAGUUGUCCUGCUCACCUCAUAUUCAUGGUGUGCACUGUGCACUACAUUGACCACCAUAGAAUACCUUAAAACUUUCUUCUUUUAAGAGAGAAUACAAAUAUAUAUGGCUAGUUGAUCAAGUAGAUUUCAACAAUCAAAGAACACCAAACAGUCCUAUUAACAUCAAUUUUACAAGAGGAGUAAAAAGGAUGAUCUCACACCAUGGCAAACUGAUAUAGCUUGCUCCCAGGGCAAAAUUUCCAAUCCAUCCAUUUUGUUUCAGCUUCAAAGGUGGAGCAGAAUAUAUGUAUGACAGUAAGGAUCCACCCAGAGCAAGGUAGAAUACUACGGGGUAGUCAUGCCCAGCCCAUACAUCCAAUAAACCAGCCAAGCUAAGCCCUCCUAGAAGCAGUACCCAGAUUUGCGUAAUGACCUCAUUCUCAGAAAUAGCCCCUGAUGGAAUUGGACGAUAAGGUUCAUUAAUAGCAUCGAUUUCUCGGUCAUAAUAAUCAUUGAGCGUCUGAGUGUAGCCAGUAAGAAAUGGACCAGACAUCAUCAUGCAAACAAUUGAUUUGGCAACAUCCUCCAAGUUCCACUGAAAGUUCCCAGAAGCAGCAGCUCCACAAAUUACUCCCCAGACCAAAGGAGGCCAAGUAACAGGUUUUGUGAGUUGAAGCCGGAUCUUCCAUUUGUUUGUUUCUUGCUUGGCUCCUUUAAUACCAAGAAGCUGGUUGAAGCUUGAACCACUACCGGCGGGAGCCUUAUCCGGAGCCUGAGGUUUAACUUCAUUUGCAUCAGUCUCUGCUGCUCUAAUCGUAAGCCUACGCCUUGUGGCAGAAAUAGAGAGAGGAGAGAGAAGUGACCGAGUCCGAACUCGUCUAGUAUGGAUAUUGGAUACACUCAUGGAUAAAACGGUGCUCAGAGAAGACGCCAUUGAAGAUAAAAAGCUGCUAAUGGAGCCUGCAGAGAUUGGCGGAGAUAGUUAAUAGUAGAGUUAGUACGAUGAUAAACUCCACCAGUCAAUAAAAA